GAUGAACGCUAGCGACAGGCUUAACACAUGCAAGUCGUAGGGGCAUCAUGUAGGUUGCUUGCGACCUAUGAUGGCGACCGGCGCACGGGUGAGUAACGCGUAUGCAACCUUCCCGCGGCAGGGGGAUAGCCCGGCGAAAGUCGGAUUAAUACCCCAUGAGACAGGGGCCCCGCAUGGGGAUAUUUGUUAAAGGUUUGUUCCGGCCGCGGAUGGGCAUGCGUAGGAUUAGGUAGUCGGCGGGGUGACGGCCCACCGAGCCAUCGAUCCUUAGGGGUUCUGAGAGGGAGGUCCCCCACACUGGUACUGAGACACGGACCAGACUCCUACGGGAGGCAGCAGUGAGGAAUAUUGUUCAAUGGGCGGAAGCCUGAACCAGCCAAGUCGCGUGAGGGAUGGAGGCCCUACGGGUUGUAAACCUCUUUUGCCGGGGGAUAAUUGGCCGCACGCGUGCGGCGUUGCAGGUACCCGGCGAAUAAGCAUCGGCUAACUCCGUGCCAGCAGCCGCGGUAAUACGGAGGAUGCGAGCGUUAUCCGGAUUCAUUGGGUUUAAAGGGUGCGUAGGUGGGUCUGUAAGUCGGCGGUGAAAUCCCGGUCGCUCAACGAUGGGACUGCCGUCGAAACUGCGGGUCUUGAGACCGGACGAGGCGGGCGGAAUGCGCGGUGUAGCGGUGAAAUGCUUAGAGAUCGCGCAGAACUCCGAUUGCGAAGGCAGCUCGCCAGGGCGGUUCUGACACUGAAGCACGAAAGCGUGGGGAUCAAACAGGAUUAGAUACCCUGGUAGUCCACGCAGUAAACGAUGAUCACUAGGAGUAUGCGACAGGCUGUAUGCUCUACAGCGAAAGCGUUAAGUGACCCACCUGGGGAGUACGCCGGCAACGGUGAAACUCAAAGGAAUUGACGGGGGCCCGCACAAGCGGAGGAACAUGUGGUUUAAUUCGAUGAUACGCGAGGAACCUUACCCGGGAUUGAAAUGUGGACGUCGGGUGGCGAGAGCCGCCUUCCCUUCGGGGCGUCCAUGUAGGUGCUGCAUGGUUGUCGUCAGCUCGUGCCGUGAGGUGUCGGCUUAAGUGCCAUAACGAGCGCAACCCUGACUGCCAGUUGCCAUCAGGUUAUGCUGGGGACUCUGGCGGGACUGCCGGCGUAAGCUGCGAGGAAGGUUGGGAUGACGUCAAAUCAGCACGGCCCUUACAUCCGGGGCGACACACGUGUUACAAUGGGGGGGACAAAGGGCUGCUACCGGGCGACCGGAUGCGAAUCUCCAAACCCCCUCUCAGUUCGGAUCGGAGUCUGCAACCCGACUCCGUGAAGCUGGAUUCGCUAGUAAUCGCGCAUCAGCCAUGGCGCGGUGAAUACGUUCCCGGGCCUUGUACACACCGCCCGUCAAGCCAUGGGAGCCGGGGGCGCCUGAAGUCCGUGACCGCGAGGAUCGGCCUAGGGUGAAACUGGUGACUGGGGCUAAGUCGUAACAAGGUAGCCGUA
rnacentral:rRNA from 1 species